CCUACGGGUGGCAGCAGUCGAGAAUCAUUCACAAUGGGGGAAACCCUGAUGGUGCGACGCCGCGUGGGGGAAUGAAGGUCUUCGGAUUGUAAACCCCUGUCAUGUGGGAGCAAAUUAAAAAGAUAGUACCACAAGAGGAAGAGACGGCUAACUCUGUGCCAGCAGCCGCGGUAAUACAGAGGUCUCAAGCGUUGUUCGGAAUCACUGGGCGUAAAGCGUGCGUAGGCUGUUUCGUAAGUCGUGUGUGAAAGGCGCGGACUCAACCCGCGGACGGCACAUGAUACUGCGAGACUAGAGUAAUGGAGGGGGAAUCGGAAUUCUCGGUGUAGCAGUGACAUGCGUAGAUAUCGAGAGGAACACUCGUGGCGAAGGCGGGUUCCUGGACAUUAACUGACGCUGAGGCACGAAGGCCAGGGGAGCGAAAGGGAUUAGAUACCCUUGUAGUC
rnacentral:rRNA from 1 species